GCGGUCGUGGUGGAACGGCAGACACGCUAUCUUGAGGGGGUAGUGCCCAUAGGGUGUGCGGGUUCAAAUCCCGCCGACCGCA
rnacentral:tRNA from 2 species